rnacentral:rRNA from 1 species
GUAGGGAAUCUUCCACAAUGGACGCAAGUCUGAUGGAGCAACGCCGCGUGAGUGAAGAAGGGUUUCGGCUCGUAAAGCUCUGUUGGUAGUGAAGAAAGAUAGAGGUAGUAACUGGCCUUUAUUUGACGGUAAUUACCUAGAAAGUCACGGCUAACUACGUGCCAGCAGCCGCGGUAAUACGUAGGUGGCAAGCGUUGUCCGGAUUUAUUGGGCGUAAAGCGAGUGCAGGCGGUUCAAUAAGUCUGAUGUGAAAGCCUUCGGCUCAACCGGAGAAUUGCAUCAGAAACUGUUGAACUUGAGUGCAGAAGAGGAGAGUGGAACUCCAUGUGUAGCGGUGGAAUGCGUAGAUAUAUGGAAGAACACCAGUGGCGAAGGCGGCUCUCUGGUCUGCAACUGACGCUGAGGCUCGAAAGCAUGGGUAGCGAACAGG